rnacentral:rRNA from 1 species
CCUUACACAUGCAAGUCGAACGGCAGCACGGGAGCAAUCCUGGUGGCGAGUGGCGAACGGGUGAGUAAUAUAUCGGAACGUGCCCAGUCGUGGGGGAUAACGUAGCGAAAGCUACGCUAAUACCGCAUACGAUCUAUGGAUGAAAGCGGGGGAUCGCAAGACCUCGCGCGAUUGGAGCGGCCGAUAUCAGAUUAGGUAGUUGGUGAGGUAAAGGCUCACCAAGCCGACGAUCUGUAGCUGGUCUGAGAGGACGACCAGCCACACUGGGACUGAGACACGGCCCAGACUCCUACGGGAGGCAGCAGUGGGGAAUUUUGGACAAUGGGCGCAAGCCUGAUCCAGCAAUGCCGCGUGCAGGAUGAAGGCCUUCGGGUUGUAAACUGCUUUUGUACGGAGCGAAAAGGCUCCCUCUAAUACAGGGGGCUCAUGACGGUACCGUAAGAAUAAGCACCGGCUAACUACGUGCCAGCAGCCGCGGUAAUACGUAGGGUGCGAGCGUUAAUCGGAAUUACUGGGCGUAAAGCGUGCGCAGGCGGUUAUGUAAGACAGAUGUGAAAUCCCCGGGCUCAACCUGGGAACUGCAUUUGUGACUGCAUAGCUAGAGUACGGCAGAGGGGGAUGGAAUUCCGCGUGUAGCAGUGAAAUGCGUAGAUAUGCGGAGGAACACCGAUGGCGAAGGC